AGAGCGAACGCUGGCGGCAGGCCUAACACAUGCAAGUCGAGCGCGUGUAGCAAUACACGAGCGGCAGACGGGAGAGUAACACGUGGGAACGCGCCCUUCGGUUCGGAAUAACUCAGGGAAACUUGAGCUAAUACCGGAUACGCCCUUACGGGGAAAGAUUUAUUGCCGAAGGAACGGCCCGCGUCCGAUUAGCUAGUUGGUGAGGUAACGGCUCACCAAGGCGACGAUCGGUAGCU
rnacentral:rRNA from 1 species